rnacentral:rRNA from 1 species
GACGGGGACCCGCACAAGCGGUGGAUGAUGUGGAUUAAUUCGAUGCAACGCGAAAACCUUACCUACCCUUGACAUGUCCGGAAUCCUGCAGAGAUGCGGGAGUGCCCGAAAGGGAAUCGGAACACAGGUGCUGCAUGGCUGUCGUCAGCUCGUGUCGUGAGAUGUUGGGUCAAGUCCCGCAACGAGCGCAACCCUUAUCAUUAGUUGCUACGCAAGGGCACUCUAAUGAGACUGCCGGUGACAAACCGGAGGAAGGUGGGGAUGACGUCAAGUCCUCAUGGCCCUUAUGGGUAGGGCUUCACACGUCAUACAAUGGUCGGUACAGAGGGUUGCCAAGCCGCGGGGCGGAGCCAAUCCCACAAAGCCGAUCGUAGUCCGGAUUGUUCUCUGCAACUCGAGAGCAUGAAGUCGGAAUCGCUAGUAAUCGCAGGUCAGCAUACUGCGGUGAAUACGUUCCCGGGUCUU